AAGCCUGCAGCAGAGUCACAAGAAUCCCAAACAUUCAAUUCAAAUCUUUAACAAGUCAGAAGCUUUAAGAGAAUAAACAACUUAAAAUCAAUAUUUCAUGUCUAGAUAUUUUUAUUUGGGGUAGCCAUGCCAUAAGCAAAAAAGAUUUCAACAGCUGCGAGAGAACACCCCCAAAAAUUGCUCUAUAUUUUCAUAUUUCCCAUUUAUUUCCUAUUGUGGUCAUUUUUGACCGUGAACAAUCAAAAGUGUGAUUUUUUUUUUUUUUUCUAAAACCCAUUUAACCUUUUUGAAUCAUAUCCAUGUUUUUUGCAUCCGUGUGUGUGUGUUCACAUAGCAAGUGUCACAAAAUCAUAUUAGUAUUUAAAAUAUUAAUUUAAUUUAUUAAUAUUUAGUACAAAAAUUAAACAAUUCAAAAUGCAAAACUUCUGUCUAAAAUGCUAGUAUAGAUGGUUAAAGGAUUUAUAAAAUGGAAUGCAAUAUCAACACGUCCCUCUCGAGGCUCUUAUGCAAGAACAUGAAAGGUCACAAGAGUUUGCCUGUGAGGAUGUUUUUCAGGAAUUGUACCUGGAUCAGGAAGAGUUUGCUCUUGUCCGCCAUUGACGGGCCUCUGAAGUAGCUGUAGAUCUCGGACAGUUUCACGGCAUGUCCGUCAGCACCAAACACAACACCCUCCUCACCAUGAGUGGAUAUGAUGCCCAUAAAACAGUCUUUGACCGUCUUCUCGCUCUCUGAGGAUGGAGGACAGAGAGAAGCCGAGUUUGGUGAGGAUUUUGUGAAGCCUUUGAGUGUCUUUCUUCACGCCGCUUCUCCUGCUCAGAUCUACAUCUGGAUAGAAGUUGCCCACAGACACUAUUAACGCCCUGUUCUUCAUCCUCUUGUUGGCUGUGAAAGGAUAUCUACAAAAAGACAUGAUUCUCUCUUCUGUCAGACACUGUAAUGCAGGUGUAAUGCAGUCAAAAACUGUGUGAGAAUAGGGAGAGUCUGUCUCGACAUCAUAAAACAGGAAUGGUACCUGGAUCAGGAAGAGUUUGCUCUUGUCCGCCAUUGACGGGCCUCUGAAGUAGCUGUAGAUCUCGGACAGUUUCACGGCAUGUCCGUCAGCACCAAACACAACCCCCUUCUCACCAUGAGUGGAUAUGAUGCCCAUAAAACAGUCUUUGACCGUCUUCUCGCUCUCUGAGGAUGGAGGACGGAGUUAAGAAGCCGAGUUUGGUGAGGAUUUUGUGAAGCCUUUGAGUGUCUUUCUUCACGCCGCUUCUCCUGCUCAGAUCUACAUCUGGAUAGAAGUUCCCCACAGACACUAUUAACGCCCUGUUCUUCA